AGCCACCUGAUGGACAGACUGCUGUUAAAUCAGAGAAGGAUCGUGAGACAAUGCUUCUAGAAGUGCAGAAGAGAGAUCCAGAUUUACAACUCCUGGAUGAACUGAUGAUUGCAACAUUGUCACGGCGAAGACAGGAGAUCAUCGGUGAUGAGCCAUUCAUCUCUGCAGUCAUGGACAGAUGGCCUGCACUGUUUUGUCAAAGACAGACCUGUCAUUCCUGGAAGGACUAGAUGCCAUGGUGCCAAGCCUUUUGGGAGUGUACAAAGCUGCUGUCGCAUCAAGCAGAAAGUUGACCCUAAGUGGAAUUCUGGAGUGUCUUCAAAAAAAGGACACAAACCAAAACAGGACAGCAGCUGCCCUACUUGGUCUUCCUCAAUUUCUUUCAGAGGAAGAUAAUCAGGAUGUGUGAUGUAAGUCAGUAUAUUAACAGAUUUUAUACUACACUUGUCUCUCGCUUUAUUUGAAAUAUUGCCAUUGCCAAAGAAAUGCUUUUUUUAAAAAUAGACUUCUUAUUGCGGGUUAAGUUACACCAUACUUCGACAUGUCAGUCCCCAUACUCACAUGGACACACACCCCCCAAC